rnacentral:lncRNA from 1 species
UGUGCAACUCUAAUUGAAAAAUAAGAAUCAAUUGUAUUAAAACACAUGGAUUUUCUAUUGGCUUAUUUUUCAGGUGUCACAGACUUCAUCUCUAUAAAUAUGUAGCUCUUCCCAAAACUGAAAAUAAUAAAUAGAAAUUUCCACCCUGUUUUACUGGGAUCCUUUCCUAAUGUCAUACUUUGGUGUGGAACAUAUUUAAAGGCCAGUCAUGAGGCAGAGAAGUGGAAUGAAGUCCACCAGAGAUGGCGAAUUUUUCGUGGAAAAACUGCAAUGACACCACAGAAUCAACACAGUGAAACAGAAGGAAUAGAGGGAUUCAAUUUGGUGAUUUCUAGUAAGUGAUAGAUCUGAG